CCGACAAGUGUGUGAUGGAAUGCUGUCCACCAACAGGAAGGAGUGAGGCUGAAACCGGCAUGAGCUUUGAGAGUGUCACACUAAGAGAAAGAAGCCAGAAGAAGAAUUGCUUCACAGGUCACUAACUGCCCCAGCAGGCCAUCAAGACCCAAGUGAAAACGGUGCCUUCAAAAUGAUACGCAGGCCCAUUUGCCCCAAAGAGAUAGUCAUCAAAUGUGAACUGUGUCCUCCUCAGCCCACAGUGGAGGAAACUGAAGUGAGAGAAGCGGUUGCUUGAGUGGCUGGCCAGGACCCAAGCAUGCACACUGGUCCAUCACCUACAUUCCUGGGCUUCUUUCUGCUGCCUCCCUGCAGCCCUGGGCCUUUCAUAUGAAGUGUCUCCGCCUCCUGAUCUCACAUGUAAGGCAGAAAUAGUCACCUCAGUGUCACCUAUUUCAAAAACAGCUCCCUGCCUAUUGAGCAGUCCCUACCCAAUCAAUAGAGAUAAAACCUUCAAAUCAGCAUUUGCUGGCUGGGUUCUGACCCUCAUUCAGGAACAUGCCAAAAGAAAUUUGAAGUAGAAAAGGGCUCUGAGGUCAGGAGAAUUUGGGAAAGAGAUGAAUGAUCUGAAGUUCUAAUGUAUGAUCCUAAAAUUAUGUCUGUGCUGUAUAUGCAUGGAGCUCUUCAUGCUGUUAUUCUGCAUAGUUUUAAACAUUCUUAAGUGGUUUCCUACUUGAUUUACCACUUUAUAACGUUUCCCCAUCCAAAAUUAUGUUUGUUUGCAAUUUAUCUUUGUUAAUACACUCUUUCCUAAUAUUCAGGCCAACAAGACAGCCCAGUGGGUAAAGGCACUUUCUGCCAAGCCUGAUGACCUGAGUUUGAUCCUAGGACCCACA